CAGGUGCCCUAUCCUGCUGUCAUUUUUUGGGAAAGAGGAGGUGAAUACAUUUAUGCCUCUGGCCUAUUGAAUCAGGAAAUAAGUAACUUAAGAACAACUUUUGAAAUUUUAGAGCCAUAGCGUGAUAAAAGCGGAAGGGACAUGCGUGAUCCUUCUUACCUGGGGCCCCAGGUCACAGGAGAGAGCCACGGGCCCAGCGCAGGGGAGGGGCUGGCCGGCUCGCCCACCUGCCUGCGGGCUCACAGCAUGGUGUUUGCCUUCACGGAAGAGCUGUUGUUCGUUGUGUCUGCGGAACUGAUGUACCAAUCCAGCUCCGGGAAUGUGUGGACCAGCAAGAUGUGGGUUUGGAGGUGGAGACCAAAAGAGAAGCCUCGAAUGCUCACCGCGUACUCUCAGCUCCUGUAGCCUGAGGGAGGCGUCCUGGUCUCAUUUCACAGGCGGAAAUGUGGGGUUCCUAGAGGAGAAGUGACACGCCCAGCUUGCAGCCCUGCCCUCCCGGCUUGGGACUGGAUGUGGUGGUGCCACCCAGCAGUGAGGCGUCCCUAUACGUCAGAGCCCGGGUUUGAGCUCUGCUCCUCUCUCGGUGUGGUCUGUGAGGAUUGGGUAAGGCCUGGACAUGGCAGUCAGAGCUCAUGUGAAGAGGUAAAUUACCGAUACAUGAGGAUAAAUCUGAGAUAAAGUGAAGAAACUGAGGAUUGAGGUCAUGCAUCUGGGAAAAUGGAUCUAAGAUCACAAAGACCCUUUGAAACCGGGAACCCUUCUUUUUCUACACAGGACUCAAGCAGGCUUUUAACAAAGCUGGUGUAGGACAUUUUUCUCUAUUACUGUCCCUGGAGACGUAUCCCAGACAACAAAGGAUAAAAUGAAACAACUUUUCACUUUCUUAAAAACAAGGAAAAGUCUCAGCCCCAAGCCAUGGGACAUAACGUGUAUCUUCCAAAACCUGUGAAGGGCAGGACACCAGGAGGGGGUCCAGAGCUGGCAUCCACCUCCUUGGACCUUGAGCAGGAUGCAUAUGUCCCUGAGUAAGUGACCCAGGGGUAAAAGGUAUAUCCAAUGGCUCACUGAUUAUCACAGUACCAUCUAGGGCAUGGGCAGGUGAUGUCCCCAUGCAGACUUGGUUGGGCAUUGUGGAGUGAUGGGUGGGGGAGGGGUACAGAAGAGCCCAAACCAGCAUGCUAUUUUUGGUGCCCCGGACCAAAGCUCCUUGUUUAGGAAAGUGUGGGUUUAAAGCAAUGUGGAGGAACAUAGAAAGGCAGGAAAUUCCAGAUCAAAUGCAGAGGCCUCCCAUGGUAAAGGAAAGCCUCUUUCCUGGCAGGGUAAAGACCAGAUAUGAGGUAGAGACCUACCUCAGGGUAAAUAAAAUCACGUGGAAGAACAGAGGAGUUCUGCACAGCAGUCUGUGUCCAUGUCUGUGAUGUCCCAGUUCGUUACUCUCUCCCCUUGGCCCAGGUCAGCACGUGACGAGCUCCAUCCAAUUCAAAAAGGAAGAGGCCACAGAACAGGUGACACAGAAAAAUGUUAAAUGAUAUAAGUGAAGAAAACUUUACCGAAAUAAGUAACGGGCUUCUCAGAAGGAAAAUGUGAUAUGGAAUGAGCAGCACCAAUGAACGCUGCUGUGAAAAUCCUGAAGUUCAUGAGUAAGAAAGGAGCCCUAUUGGCUUCUAGGAGAACAUGCAAAUUUCAAGGCAUAAAGGCAUAUCCUAGAAUUUUCCACAACUGAAGUCAGUGCCAGAAAACGAAUAUCUACAAAGUGGUGAAGAAUAAUGUCUGGGAUGAUGUUUACCAAAUAUUGAUGACCACGGCCACUUGAGUAGUGGAAUUUUGGAUAAUUUUUUCCCCACUGGCUCUUUUGCACUUUUUUGGUGUUGCUGGAAUAUUUUCACGAUGCUCAUAUGUGAAGUGUAUUCACUGAAUAAAGCCCAUAUUCCCCACCAAAAAAUGAAGCCAUCACAGUGGAAGAAAAGGCAAAGCUAAUUUCUAAAAGUGGAGUUGCCUAUCUGGCCACCCAUUCUCUGGACUCAGAUGCUAAUCAUGGCUGUAAAUUGACUUUACCUAUCCCAGCAGAUUUCCCCAAGAAUAUCUGAAGUGCUUUACAAUUCAGGUUGAAUCUAACGGGGACGGAGCCCAUACAUCACAGUAAAGGACAAGUGCACAAACCCUGGUACCCCUUUCCUUGGAGAUUUUCGGACAUGGAGGCAGGUAUGAUUACAAUAACCGCAUCUAUCGUGACUCAUUUAGACACUGAUUUGGUGGCCUCUACUGAGUCACUUCCCAUAGUAUCCUGUAAUGAUAAUGUGCAAUUUAAACACAAUUUAAAGGGGCCCCUGGGUGGCUCAGUCGGUGGAGCGUCCGACUUCGGCUCAGGUCAUGAUCUCACGGUCCGUGAGUUCGAGCCCCACGUCGGGCUCUGUGC